GGGGAUAUAGCUCUGUUGGUAGAGUGUUUGCCUGAUAUGCACAAGGCCCUGGGUUCAAUCCCCAGCACCACCA
rnacentral:tRNA from 1 species